rnacentral:rRNA from 1 species
UACGUAGGGUGCAAGCGUUGUCCGGAUUUAUUGGGCGUAAAGAGCUCGUAGGCGGUCUGUCGCGCGGAUGUGAAAACCCAGGGCUCAACCCUGGGCCUGCAUUCGAUACGGGCAGACUAGAGUGUGGCAGGGGAGACUGGAAUUCCUGGGUGUAGCGGUGAAAUGCGCAGAUAUCAGGAGGAACACCGGUGGCGAAGGCGGGUCUCUGGGACGAAACUG